ACCGUACUCCUACGGGAGGCAGCAGUGGGGAAUUUUGGACAAUGGGGGCAACCCUGAUCCAGCAAUGCCGCGUGAGUGAAGAAGGCCUUCGGGUUGUAAAGCUCUUUUGUCAGGGAAGAAACGGUAGUAGCUAAUAUCUAUUACUAAUGACGGUACCUGAAGAAUAAGCACCGGCUAACUACGUGCCAGCAGCCGCGGUAAUACGUAGGGUGCAAGCGUUAAUCGGAAUUACUGGGCGUAAAGCGUGCGCAGGCGGUUGUGUAAGUCAGAUGUGAAUUCCCCGGGCUCAACCUGGGAAUUGCAUUAGAGACUGCACGGCUAGAGUGUGUCAGAGGGGGGUAGAACUCCGCGUGGAGGAGUGAAAUGCGUAGAUAUGUGGAGGAAUACCGAUGGCGAAGGCAGCCCCCUGGGAUAACACUGACGCCCAUGCACGAAAGCGUGGGGAGCAAACAGGGUUAGAACCCCUGGUAGUCCUUGAC
rnacentral:rRNA from 1 species